AGUGAACGCUGGCGGUAGGCCUAACACAUGCAAGCCGAACGGCAGCACAGUAAGAGCUUGCUCUUACGGGUGGCGAGUGGCGGACGGGUGAGGAAUACAUCGGAAUCUACUUUUUCGUGGGGGAUAACGUAGGGAAACUUACGCUAAUACCUCAUACGACCUACGGGUGAAAGCAGGGGAUCUUCGGACCUUGCGCGAUUGAAUGAGCCGAUGUCGGAUUAGCUAGUUGGCGGGGUAAAGGCCCACCAAGGCGACGAUCCGUAGCUGGUCUGAGAGGAUGAUCAGCCACACUGGAACUGAGACACGGUCCAGACUCCUACGGGAGGCAGCAGUGGGGAAUAUUGGACAAUGGGCGCAAGCCUGAUCCAGCCAUACCGCGUGGGUGAAGAAGGCCUUCGGGUUGUAAAGCCCUUUUGUUGGGAAAGAAAAGCAGCAGGUUAAUACCCCGCUGUUCUGACGGUACCCAAAGAAUAAGCACCGGCUAACUUCGUG
rnacentral:rRNA from 1 species